rnacentral:rRNA from 1 species
UACAGAGGUCCCGAGCGUUGUUCGGAUUCAUUGGGCGUAAAGGGUGCGUAGGCGGCGGGGCCAGUCUGAUGUGAAAUCCCGGGGCUCAACCCCGGAACUGCAUUGGAUACUGCCUUGCUAGAGUACUGGAGAGGGAACUGGAAUUCCGGGUGUAGCGGUGAAAUGCGUAGAUAUCCGGAGGAACACCGGUGGCGAAGGCGGCUUCCUGGACCGAUACUGACGCUGAGGCGCGAAAGCUAGGGGAGCAAACGGGG